ACAUCUUUCCACUGGACUAGACUAUCCUGGAACCCAGGGCUCUCAACAUUAUCUGAGAUACGACAGUAGCUGUAGACACUCCCAAUGACAGCCCCGAGGAAAUCGUGCUGACUCAAGUACAACAGAUUCAGUACCAUAUGGAAAAUGAAGUGUCAGGCCCCCACAGCUGUGCAAUGUAUUACCACUGCAAUAGGCUAUCAUUCUGCUUAGAGGAGAGAGCAUUUGAAAAAGGUCGUUUUAAUUUGUAAAACCAAAUAAGAAUGUGGAAGAUCUGAAGGGAAGGACAUGGAGAAGGCUGUGCUGUCCUCAUGCCAAGAGCACUCACCAGAAACUGACUUUGCUGGCACUUUGUGGACUUCUCAGCCAGAACGAUGAGAAAGAAAUUUCUAUUGUUUAAGUUAUCUAAUCUGAUAUUUUGUUAUGGAAACCAGAACAGACAAAUACACACUGAAAUUAUAUCUAUCUUCAAAAUAUGAUUGGUUGGUAUUAUGACAAAGUAGUAUUCACUUU
rnacentral:lncRNA from 1 species